rnacentral:rRNA from 1 species
GCUGUGACUGCGUGCCUUUUGCAUAAUGAACCUACGAGUUACUUUCUCUGGCAAGGUUAAGUGAUGAAGAGUCACGUGAGCCGAAGCGAAAGCGAGUCUGAAUAGGGCGAUUUAGUCAGAGGGAGUAGACGCGAAACCAAGUGAUCUACCCUUGGUCAGGUUGAAGGUUGGGUAAAACCAACUGGAGGACCGCACCGGUAAGCGUUGAAAAGCUUUCGGAUGAACUGAGGGUAGGGGUGAAAGGCUAAUCAAACUUGGAGAUAGCUCGUACUCCCCGAAAUGCAUUUAGGUGCAGCCUGUGGAGUUUCUUACGUGAGGUAGAGCGACUGAUUGGAUGCGAGGCUUUCACCGGCUAUCAAGUCCAGACAAACUCCGAAUGCACGUUAAGUAAGAUCCACGGAGUGAGGGCAUGGGUGCUAAGGUCCAUGUCCGAGAGGAGAAGAAUCCAGACCAUCGGCUAAGGUCCCGAAAUAAUAGCUAAGUUGACCAAACGAAGUCAGAGUGCGAAGACAGCUAGGAUGUUGGCUUGGAAGCAGCCAUUCAUUUAAAGAGUGCGUAACAGCUCACUAGUCGAGUGCUUUGGCGUGGAUAAUAAUCGGGCAUAAGCUAUUUACCGAAGCUGUGGGAUGUGUAAACAUCGGUAGGGGAGCAUUCUAGCGACGCUGAAGGUGAGAGGACAACUCUUGCUGGAGUUUCUAGAAAAGCAAAUGUAGGUAUAAGUAACGAUAAAGGAGGUGAGAAACCUCCUCGCCGAAAGACUAAGGUUUCCUGAUCAACGCUAAUCGGAUCAGGGUUAGUCGGGGCCUAAGGGGAAGCCGAACGGCGCACCCGAUGGAAGAACCGGUUAAUAUUCCGGUACUAAUUAUGUGAGCGAUGUGGAGACGGAGAUGUGACGGUCCUGCCAACUGACGGAAUAGUUGGUUGAAGGGUGUAGGAGUUGAUCUGAGUAGGCAAAUCCGCUCGGAGAUCCGAACCUGACAGUACUCUGAGUGCUUGCACAAGGAGAUAUGGACAACUGUAACGGUGCUCCCAAGAAAAUCCGCUAAGCAUAUUGCAUGAUUACCCGUACCAUAAACCGACACAGGUGGUUGGGUUGAGUAUACUAAGGCGCUCGAGUGAUUCGCGGUUAAGGAACUAGGCAAAAUAGUCCUGUAACUUCGGAAUAAAGGACGCUCACAGUGAAGGCUGUGAGCCGCAGAGAAUAGGCCCAGGCGACUGUUUAACAAAAACACAUGGCUAUGCUAAAUCGAAAGAUACUGUAUAUAGCCUGACACCUGCCCGGUGCUGGAAGGUUAAGAGGAGAUGUCAUCGCAAGAGAAGCAUUGAAUUGAAGCCCCAGUAAACGGCGGCCGUAACUAUAACGGUCCUAAGGUAGCGAAAUUCCUUGUCGGGUAAGUUCCGACCUGCACGAAUGGUGUAACGAUCUGGGUACUGUCUCAACCGCGAGCUCGGUGAAAUUGUAGUAUCGGUGAAGAUGCCGAUUACCCGCAACGGGACGAAAAGACCCCGUGAACCUUUACUAUAGCUUUGCAUUGGAUUUGGGUAACAAAUGUGUAGGAUAGGCCGGAGACUAUGAAGCGGGUACGCCAGUAUUCGUGGAGUCGCCGUUGAAAUACGGCCCUUUUGUUAUUUGGGUUCUAACUCGCGGAUGCGAGGACAUUGCAUGGUGGGUAGUUUGACUGGGGUGGUCGCCUCCAAAAGUGUAACGGAGGCUUCUAAAGGUACCCUCAGACCGAUUGGUAACCGGUCGUAGAGUG